CCACUAAGCUGUCAUGGAUGGAUUCUUGGGGAGCAUGGAGACUCAAGUGUACCAGUGUGGAGUGGAGUGAAUGUUGCUGGUGUCUCC